GGCCUCCCUCUGUGGGGCGAUUGAUCAUGGGACCCCCAGAUAGAUUGCCGUGCAGAGGGAGGCC
rnacentral:pre_miRNA from 1 species